GUUUCCGUAGUGUAGUGGUUAUCACGUGCGCCUCACACGCGCAAGGUCCCCGGUUCGAACCCGGGCGGAAACA
rfam:Strongylocentrotus purpuratus Contig114917_fixed, whole genome shotgun sequence.